rnacentral:rRNA from 1 species
GAAAUGCGAUAAGUAAUGUGAAUUGCAGAAUUCAGUGAAUCAUCAAAUCUUUGAACGCACCUUGCGCUCCUUGGUAUUCUGAGGAGCAUGCCUGUUUGAGUGUCAGUUACUUCUCAUCCCCUCCAGCUUUUGUUUCUAAGCUUGGUUCUUGGGGUUUGGAUGUGGAGGUUUUUGUUGGCCUUUUGCUAGGUCAACUCCUCUGAAAUGCAUUAGUGGAACUGUUUGCGAUCCAUCACAGGCAUGAUAAUCAAUCUAUGCCACUGGAUUGCUCUCUAUCUUGUUCAACUUCCAACUGUCCCAUUCUUUGUGGACAACCAUUACUGAACAUUUGACCUCAAAUCAGGUAAGAUUACCCGCUGAACUUAA